UACGGGGGGGGCAAGCGUUGUUCGGAAUUACUGGGCGUAAAGGGCUCGUAGGCGGCCCGCUAAGUCGAACGUGAAAUCCCCAGGCUCAACCUGGGAACUGCGUCCGAUACUGGCAGGCUUGAAUCCGGGAGAGGGAUGUGGAAUUCCAGGUGUAGCGGUGAAAUGCGUAGAUAUCUGGAGGAACACCGGUGGCGAAGGCGGCAUCCUGGACCGGUAUUGACGCUGAGGCGCGAAAGCUAGGGGAGCAAACGGG
rnacentral:rRNA from 1 species